AUCGCACUUUAAGGUCAAUGCCAAGCCGUUAGCAGUUCGAACAAUUUGUAUAUUAAAUUGAAACAUACAUAAGUAACUUAGCCGUAAAAAUCGUGUGGAACUUAAUAUGCUCAAAAUCGACUUUCCCGUUUACAAUGAGCGGUUCCGUAAACGUGAAUCUUUCUGGUGUUAUGAUGCUUGUGAUGUUACUCUGAGUGUAUAUCCACACCAGACAAGCUUGAAAAAUAUGCCUGGCCACGGUGGGAAUCGAACCUACGACCUUUGGAAUUAGUACUAGCCCACUGCUUUAUGGUGUUAUUGUCACAACCUACGGCUACGCUGGAACACACCGUUCCAGUUAAUUGUAAAAUAGUUUUUAAUUUCUAAUUCAUGUCACAUCUUUUCAGGGCUACAAGUCGCUUACUUUUUGGAAAGAUCAAGUCGAGACUAUAUUGUUUUUGAGCGUAAUUCCGAAGCUGGU